rnacentral:rRNA from 1 species
GAUGAACGCUAGCGGCAGGCCUAAUACAUGCAAGUCAAGGGGCCAGCAAUGGCACCGGCGCACGGGUGCGUAACACGUACACAACAUACCUUUAAGUGGGAGAUAGCAUCGGGAAACUGGUGGUAAUACCCCAUAAUAUUGCGAUGCGGCAUCACAUUGCAAUUAAAGUUUCGACGCUUAAAGAUUGGUGUGCGUCCGAUUAGCUAGUUGGCGGGGUAACGCCCACCAAGGCUACGAUCGGUAGGGGGUGUGAGAGCAUGACCCCCCACAUGGGUACGUGAGACACGGACCCAACUCCUA